rnacentral:lncRNA from 1 species
GUGAUUGGAGUUACCUUGGAAGAAGUUCCUGGAACAAAGAAACUGUUAGCAGUAGAACGCCAUUCAUGUUUUCUAAAUAGAGUAUAACUAUAUAUGCUUAAAGAGUGCAGGCCAUAGUUAAAUAUAUCUAACUUGUUUAAAUUCAGUAAAAAAAUUUCUAUUGAGCCAAGCACACUUAACCCAUUACCUGCUCUGUCUUACAUUUAUACGUGGAUCCAGAGCCCAGUUUCAACCCCCCGUCAAAUUUGACAGCUGUUCAUUUGCAGGAUCUUGGUUGAGCCUGUGGUGUUUGUAGUUAUGAUUCUAUUUUCUGUGUAGGGCACUUUUAAAUGUAAGAAAUCAGUCUGCCCACCAGGGGGCAGGGCUAUGCGGAAAGUGGAGAUGGGAAUAUCAUACAGAGAACAACCCUGGACGAUAAUCCAGAAAACAACAGGCCCUUGGCUUCAUUCCUGUCCCCACCCCUGAAAUCAGCAGAACCUGAUUCAUUUGGAGUGUCUUCUGCUGAGUCCCCAGCAGAUGGAGUCAAUGGCAUAGAGGUGGCACUCCUCCUUCUCUGUCCUCAGGGUUGUUCUACCCAGCUUGAAUCUUCUCCAAGGCCCUAAGCAAUAGGGAUGACUUGGGCCAAAAAAAAAUUUUUUUUUCAAACCAAACAAGUGGUGUUCAAUUUCAUUCUAUCCCAUGACAUGCCCCAUCUGUUUUGAUAGCUUCUCAGCUUGGGUCUAGUCAAGUUAUUGUUUCAUUUCCAGUUCUGUAUUUGUAACCAAUGUAUUCAGAAAAAUAAAGUAUGUCUAAUUGAUAAACUAUUGGAAAAU